GGGUUGUGAGGUUAAGCGACUAAGCGUACACGGUGGAUGCCCUGGCAGUCAGAGGCGAUGAAGGACGUGCUAAUCUGCGAUAAGCGCCGGUAAGGUGAUAUGAACCGUUAUAACCGGCGAUUUCCGAAUGGGGAAACCCAGUGUGAUUCGUCACACUAUCAUUAACUGAAUCCAUAGGUUAAUGAGGCGAACCGGGGGAACUGAAACAUCUAAGUACCCCGAGGAAAAGAAAUCAACCGAGAUUCCCCCAGUAGCGGCGAGCGAACGGGGAGGAGCCCAGAGCCUGAAUCAGCAUGUGUGUUAGUGGAAGCGUCUGGAAAGGCGCGCGAUACAGGGUGACAGCCCCGUACACAAAAAUGCACAUGCUGUGAGCUCGAUGAGUAGGGCGGGACACGUGGUAUCCUGUCUGAAUAUGGGGGGACCAUCCUCCAAGGCUAAAUACUCCUGACUGACCGAUAGUGAACCAGUACCGUGAGGGAAAGGCGAAAAGAACCCCGGCGAGGGGAGUGAAAAAGAACCUGAAACCGUGUACGUACAAGCAGUGGGAGCACCCUUUGGGGUGUGACUGCGUACCUUUUGUAUAAUGGGUCAGCGACUUAUAUUCUGUAGCAAGGUUAACCGUAUAGGGGAGCCGGAGGGAAACCGAGUCUUAACCGGGCGUUAAGUUGCAGGGUAUAGACCCGAAACCCGGUGAUCUAGCCAUGGGCAGGUUGAAGGUUGGGUAACACUAACUGGAGGACCGAACCGACUAAUGUUGAAAAAUUAGCGGAUGACCUGUGGCUGGGGGUGAAAGGCCAAUCAAACCGGGAGAUAGCUGGUUCUCCCCGAAAGCUAUUUAGGUAGCGCCUCGUGAACUCAUCUCCGGGGGUAGAGCACUGUUUCGGCUAGGGGGCCAUCCCGGCUUACCAACCCGAUGCAAACUGCGAAUACCGGAGAAUGUUAUCACGGGAGACACACGGCGGGUGCUAACGUCCGUCGUGAAGAGGGAAACAACCCAGACCGCCAGCUAAGGUCCCAAAGUCAUGGUUAAGUGGGAAACGAUGUGGGAAGGCCCAGACAGCCAGGAUGUUGGCUUAGAAGCAGCCAUCAUUUAAAGAAAGCGUAAUAGCUCACUGGUCGAGUCGGCCUGCGCGGAAGAUGUAACGGGGCUAAACCAUGCACCGAAGCUGCGGCAGCGAACGUAUCACUUAAAGCGAUUCAGCGGGUUACGAUUGACGGAGCGAAGCGACGUCAAAGCGUAUACAAAGUCGAGUCGGUUUAAGGAUACGUU
rnacentral:rRNA from 2 species